UAGGGAAUCUUCCGCAAUGGGCGAAAGCCUGACGGAGCAACGCCGCGUGAGUGAUGAAGGUCUUCGGAUCGUAAAACUUUGUUAUUAGGGAAGAACAAAUGUGUAAGUAACUAUGCACGUCUUGACGGUACCUAAUCAGAAAGCCACGGCUAACUACGUGCCAGCAGCCGCGGUAAUACGUAGGUGGCAAGCGUUAUCCGGAAUUAUUGGGCGUAAAGCGCGCGUAGGCGGUUUUUUAAGUCUGAUGUGAAAGCCCACGGCUCAACCGUGGAGGGUCAUUGGAAGCUGGAAAACUUGAGUGCAGAAGAGGAAAGUGGAAUUCCAUGUGUAGCGGUGAAAUGCGCAGAGGUAUGGAGGGACACCAGUGGCGAAGGCGACUUUCUGGUCUGUAACUGACGCUGAUGUGCGAAAGCGUGGGGAUCAAACAGG
rnacentral:rRNA from 1 species